GAGUGUACAAAACCGCCUUUUCGCCAUCAGCUCUGUAAAUUCUCUUUCGCGGGCAAUUCUAAGCUACACUCUACCUAUCGACACAACCCCGCUAAUCCUAGUUGCUUUGAGUUUCAGAUACUUCUGUGAAGGUUCUGUGAUCUCGUUGUCAGUUGAAAAUGGGUUGGAAACUGCUGAAAAACUAAUUAGGCACUGGAAAGUACUAAGAGGUGAUAAUGUUAAAAAACACAUCAAGGCAGGUGAAGGUCAUGAAUUUGGGAUCUUUCGUUUUAUGUUUGAAGUCAGAUUUCAAAACUAUGGAGGAAACCUUGCAAGGUGGGAAUUAGAUAUCUAGAAGAUGGUCCAAAGUGAGAGUUUGUAGAGGCCAAGGGGCAUCUGGGUCUGUAAUUUCUUGUCCUGAGAUUUUGAAGAUUAGAACAACUCCAAGACCUACAGUAGGCAUGAUAGACUUUAGCCUUUGGAUGUUUGGCGUAAGCAUGGUAGAUCUAGUUUAUAACCUUGCACGGGUAACGAUGAAGGGAUAUACAACUAUCUAUUAAUAAAUAUAAAGCCUAAAAUUAUUACUAUUUUAUAA